rnacentral:rRNA from 1 species
UACGGAGGAUUCAAGCGUUAUCCGGAUUUAUUGGGCGUAAAGGGAACGCAGGCGGUCUUUUAAGUCUGAUGUGAAAGCCUUCGGCUUAACCGGAGUAGUGCAUUGGAAACUGGGAGACUUGAGUGCAGAAGAGGAGAGUGGAACUCCAUGUGUAGCGGUGAAAUGCGUAGAUAUAUGGAAGAACACCAGUGGCGAAAGCGGCUCUCUGGUCUGUAACUGACGCUGAGGUUCGAAAGCGUGGGUAGCAAACAGG